rnacentral:rRNA from 1 species
AUAGGGGAGCCGGAGGGAAACCGAGUCUUAAUUGGGCGUUAAGUUGCAGGGUAUAGACCCGAAACCCGGUGAUCUAGCCAUGGGCAGGUUGAAGGUUGGGUAACACUAACUGGAGGACCGAACCGACUAAUGUUGAAAAAUUAGCGGAUGACCUGUGGCUGGGGGUGAAAGGCCAAUCAAACCGGGAGAUAGCUGGUUCUCCCCGAAAGCUAUUUAGGUAGCGCCUCGUGAAUUCAUCUCCGGGGGUAGAGCACUGUUUCGGCUAGGGGGCCAUCCCGGCUUACCAACCCGAUGCAAACUGCGAAUACCGGAGAAUGUUAUCACGGGAGACACACGGCGGGUGCUAACGUCCGUCGUGAAGAGGGAAACAACCCAGACCGCCAGCUAAGGUCCCAAAGUCAUGGUUAAGUGGGAAACGAUGUGGGAAGGCCCAGACAGCCAGGAUGUUGGCUUAGAAGCAGCCAUCAUUUAAAGAAAGCGUAAUAGCUCACUGGUCGAGUCGGCCUGCGCGGAAGAUGUAACGGGGCUAAACCAUGCACCGAAGCUGCGGCAGCGACGCUUAUGCGUUGUUGGGUAGGGGAGCGUUCUGUAAGCCUGCGAAGGUGGCCUGUGAGGGUUGCUGGAGGUAUCAGAAGUGCGAAUGCUGACAUAAGUAACGAUAAAGCGGGUGAAAAGCCCGCUCGCCGGAAGACCAAGGGUUCCUGUCCAACGUUAAUCGGGGCAGGGUGAGUCGACCCCUAAGGCGAGGCCGAAAGGCGUAGUCGAUGGGAAACGGGUUAAUAUUCCCGUACUUGGUGUUACUGCGAAGGGGGGACGGAGAAGGCUAUGUUGGCCGGGCGACGGUUGUCCCGGUUUAAGCGUGUAGGUGUGUGUUCCAGGUAAAUCCGGUUCACUUUAACACUGAGGCGUGACGACGAGGCACUACGGUGCUGAAGCAACAAAUGCCCUGCUUCCAGGAAAAGCCUCUAAGCAUCAGGUAACAUCAAAUCGUACCCCAAACCGACACAGGUGGUCAGGUAGAGAAUACCAAGGCGCUUGAGAGAACUCGGGUGAAGGAACUAGGCAAAAUGGUGCCGUAACUUCGGGAGAAGGCACGCUGACACGUAGGUGAAGUGAUUUACUCAUGGAGCUGAAGUCAGUCGAAGAUACCAGCUGGCUGCAACUGUUUAUUAAAAACACAGCACUGUGCAAACACGAAAGUGGACGUAUACGGUGUGACGCCUGCCCGGUGCCGGAAGGUUAAUUGAUGGGGUCAGCGCAAGCGAAGCUCCUGAUCGAAGCCCCGGUAAACGGCGGCCGUAACUAUAACGGUCCUAAGGUAGCGAAAUUCCUUGUCGGGUAAGUUCCGACCUGCACGAAUGGCGUAAUGAUGGCCAGGCUGUCUCCACCCGAGACUCAGUGAAAUUGAACUCGCUGUGAAGAUGCAGUGUACCCGCGGCAAGACGGAAAGACCCCGUGAACCUUUACUAUAGCUUGACACUGAACAUUGAGCCUUGAUGUGUAGGAUAGGUGGGAGGCUUUGAAGCGUGGACGCCAGUCUGCGUGGAGCCGACCUUGAAAUACCACCCUUUAAUGUUUGAUGUUCUAACGUGGACCCGUGAUCCGGGUUGCGGACAGUGUCUGGUGGGUAGUUUGACUGGGGCGGUCUCCUCCUAAAGAGUAACGGAGGAGCACGAAGGUUGGCUAAUCCUGGUCGGACAUCAGGAGGUUAGUGCAAUGGCAUAAGCCAGCUUGACUGCGAGCGUGACGGCGCGAGCAGGUGCGAAAGCAGGUCAUAGUGAUCCGGUGGUUCUGAAUGGAAGGGCCAUCGCUCAACGGAUAAAAGGUACUCCGGGGAUAACAGGCUGAUACCGCCCAAGAGUUCAUAUCGACGGCGGUGUUUGGCACCUCGAUGUCGGCUCAUCACAUCCUGGGGCUGAAGUAGGUCCCAAGGGUAUGGCUGUUCGCCAUUUAAAGUGGUACGCGAGCUGGGUUUAGAACGUCGUGAGACAGUUCGGUCCCUAUCUGCCGUGGGCGCUGGAGAACUGAGGGGGGCUGCUCCUAGUACGAGAGGACCGGAGUGGACGCAUCACUGGUGUUCGGGUUGUCAUGCCAAUGGCACUGCCCGGUAGCUAAAUGCGGAAGAGAUAAGUGCUGAAAGCAUCUAAGCACGAAACUUGCCCCGAGAUGAGUUCUCCCUGAGACUUAGAGUCUCCUGAAGGAACGUUGAAGACGACGACGUUGAUAGGCCGGGUGUGUAAGCGCAGCGAUGCGUUGAGCUAACCGGUACUAAUGAACCGUGAGGCUUAACCUUACAACGCCGAAG